CAGAGUUUGAAUCUGGCUCAGGAUGAACGCUGGCGGCGUGCUUAACACAUGCAAGUCGAACGAUGAAGCCCAGCUUGCUGGGUGGAUUAGUGGCGAACGGGUGAGUAACACGUGAGCAACCUGCCCCUGACUGUGGGAUAAGCGCUGGAAACGGCGUCUAAUACUGGAUACGAGUAGCGAUCGCAUGGUCAGUUACUGGAAAGAUUUUUUGGUUGGGGAUGGGCUCGCGGCCUAUCAGCUUGUUGGUGAGGUAAUGGCUCACCAAGGCGUCGACGGGUAGCCGGCCUGAGAGGGUGACCGGCCACACUGGGACUGAGACACGGCCCAGACUCCUACGGGAGGCAGCAGUGGGGAAUAUUGCACAAUGGGCGGAAGCCUGAUGCAGCAACGCCGCGUGAGGGAUGACGGCCUUCGGGUUGUAAACCUCUUUUAGCAGGGAAGAAGCGAAAGUGACGGUACCUGCAGAAAAAGCGCCGGCUAACUACGUGCCAGCAGCCGCGGUAAUACGUAGGGCGCAAGCGUUAUCCGGAAUUAUUGGGCGUAAAGAGCUCGUAGGCGGUUUGUCGCGUCUGCUGUGAAAUCCCGAGGCUCAACCUCGGGCCUGCAGUGGGUACGGGCAGACUAGAGUGCGGUAGGGGAGAUUGGAAUUCCUGGUGUAGCGGUGGAAUGCGCAGAUAUCAGGAGGAACACCGAUGGCGAAGGCAGAUCUCUGGGCCGUAACUGACGCUGAGGAGCGAAAGGGUGGGGAGCAAACAGGCUUAGAUACCCUGGUAGUCCACCCCGUAAACGUUGGGAACUAGUUGUGGGGUCCAUUCCACGGAUUCCGUGACGCAGCUAACGCAUUAAGUCCCCGCCUGGAGAACGNNGANGGNNC
rnacentral:rRNA from 1 species